rnacentral:ncRNA from 1 species
AUAAUUUUGCCACCGGGUAAAGUUAAUUCAUGGUGUUCUAAAACAUUCCGUUAGGUCUUAGAAGGAAUGUUUUAGAACAUUUUUUUGUU